rnacentral:rRNA from 1 species
UACGAAGGGGGCUAGCGUUGCUCGGAAUCACUGGGCGUAAAGGGCGCGUAGGCGGUCUUUUAAGUCGGGGGUGAAGGCCUGUGGCUCAACCACAGAAUUGCCUUCGAUACUGGGAGACUUGAGUUCGGAAGAGGUUGGUGGAACUGCGAGUGUAGAGGUGAAAUUCGUAGAUAUUCGCAAGAACACCGGUGGCGAAGGCGGCCAACUGGUCCGACACUAACGCUGAGGCGCGAAAGCGUGGGGAGCAAACAGG